rnacentral:lncRNA from 1 species
GUGCACAAGGGGGUCUGAAUUUAUAGCUUUUCUAAAUUUUUCUCCUCAGUUCUGCUAGGUGAACAUACAAUAAAUGAACCACUAUCUCCGCGUAUCUGAAUACCUGUCUUCCCAUUGGGUAAAAAAAGAAAAAGAAAAAAAGCAAACCAGACAUACACGACUGCUGGGUACAUAAGCUCCACCUCCAACACCCAGGAACACUCUUGCCAGUCUUUAAUAAGAUCUGCAUUCUGAUCUGUCCUCAUCCCACAUACAGUGUUAAUCUUGGAAAGCAUCUCAGAACCAAAACUGGUUUAGAGAGAGUCGGAGGUGUUGCUUAUACACCAGGAGUCCAGACUGGAGGGGCGGGACCUGGAACUUAAGUGUCCCUGAACGUGGCUUUAGGAGUAGUAGUGAGAGGAAAACGGAGAUUAGCGGCAGAGAAGAGUAAAGAAAAAAGGCUGUGCGUUACAAGGCCUAAAACUUCAGGUCUUAACUUUAAAUCUCCCUCCUGCCCCUAUCCAUCCCAGCAGUCAGAAAGCUCAGGAAAGGUUGAGGGUCAGCGUGACCGGCGACAACUCUAAAAAUUCUUAAAAAUGUCAGCCCAAGAAAAAAAAUGCAAGGAGGAACGCGACUGGACGAAGCUCCCUGCUGGAAGCGUCCCAGGGACCCCGACUUCUGGGGGCCAGAGUCGGGGACGCCCGUGGAGGAGUAUGAUCAACAGUACAACUUCAUGUUGAUUUGCAUGUUUCUUGACUGCAGGUGAGUUUGAAAAUUUUCUGUGUGGUUUUGGGGUGUUUGUAUUUUCUAUUCCUUGAC